AACGCUAGCUACAGGCUUAACACAUGCAAGUCGAGGGGCAGCAUGAUUGAAGCUUGCUUCAAUUGAUGGCGACCGGCGCACGGGUGAGUAACACGUAUCCAACCUUCCGUACACUCAGGGAUAGCCUUUCGAAAGAAAGAUUAAUACCUGAUGGUAUCUUAAGCACACAUGUAAUUAAGAUUAAAGAUUUAUCGGUGUACGAUGGGGAUGCGUUCCAUUAGGUAGUAGGCGGGGUAACGGCCCACCUAGCCUACGAUGGAUAGGGGUUCUGAGAGGAAGGUCCCCCACAUUGGAACUGAGACACGGUCCAAACUCCUACGGGAGGCAGCAGUGAGGAAUAUUGGUCAAUGGACGAGAGUCUGAACCAGCCAAGUAGCGUGAAGGAUGAAGGUCCUACGGAUUGUAAACUUCUUUUAUAAGGGAAUAAAACCUCCCACGUGUGGGAGCUUGUAUGUACCUUAUGAAUAAGCAUCGGCUAACUCCGUGCCAGCAGCCGCGGUAAUACGGAGGAUGCGAGCGUUAUCCGGAUUUAUUGGGUUUAAAGGGAGCGUAGACGGGUCGUUAAGUCAGCUGUGAAAGUUUGAGGCUCAACCUUAAAAUUGCAGUUGAUACUGGCGUCCUUGUGUACGGUUGAGGCAGGCGGAAUUCGUGGUGUAGCGGUGAAAUGCUUAGAUAUCACGAAGAACUCCGAUUG
rnacentral:rRNA from 1 species